UUAAGGUCAGCCACUUUGUCAGAGCUCAGAGCUGUCGAGUUCCUGGGGAGGCUCUUUGCCAAAGCCGAAUGCAUGAACUCUUAGCGUAUAGAAACUAGAAUGUGAAUUAAGCUCAUAUCACUCAAAAGGAGCUGAAUGCAUCUGAAACCAAAGUACACUGUCAGCCACCUCCACUUGCUCCAGGCACUGAUACCUUGAUUAGCUAUGCAAGAAGCUACCUGCUGUUUUAGAAUUAUAUGAAGUCACCUCGGGGUAUCUGCAAGCUUCUCACGCACAAGGGACUGACUACCCCCCUCCCCCCCUUCUUCUUGGCUUCCAGCACAGUUGUUGCUACAUCCAGAAUGCGGGGCGACAGCAUAGACUUGAUCAGCAGCAUUUUAUUACAAACUCAACAGGCAAGAACUAGCGAGGUGACUAAUGAUGAGGUGGAGACCGGCUCUUAGGCGAUCUCGAAGGGAAGAAAAGUUCACUAAAGUUCAGUCUCAGAGAACACAAAUCUAACAGCUCGGAAUUCAUUAAAAAGAAAUGUCGCGGCCUCUGUAAAAGUGUGCACACUUAGAAACUGAUUUUCACCAAGACUUCAGGUAUCGGUGGCAUCAAUGGGAUCAGAACUCUCUCAUGUAAGAUGUCACUUCCAAACUCCAAACCGAUGGAAAGGGACUGGAGCAGAGUCUGAAAGGAGAGGAAGCUGCCAUUGGUGUACUUCUCCAGUGCCUGUUUCUCUUCCAGGAUCUCACACAGACUUUAGGGGUCAUGCCCCCUUAGUUUCCUCUAAUCUGUGUACACGGAUGCUCAGUAUUUCCUCAUCACAUGGCUGGGUGCUUUCGAGAAUGUAAGUAGCAGAGGGUGGGAGCAGAGCCGUGAAGUGCUGUCUUCUGGAUACAUAGCAUGCCUAUUGUACACAUCAGCUACUAACUUCUGUGCCUGACUGCCUAAGACCUGCGCAAGAUCAAGCUCACCUAAAGGUUGACAAUCCUGUUGGUGAUUUCUAAGACACUACAACUUCUGUCUUUUCCAUUCGGCCCCAGAAUAAGAUGCCAUAACUGAAUUUUUGAAAACAAUAAAUACGCCCUAAAAGAAUUAAUAAAUAAAUGCCGAGAGGCAAGCCAGGAAACAAAGAGACAAAGGUUUGGAAUGAUUCAGUCUUUCCACGUCCCCAGUCAGCGAGUUCAAGCCAACAAGCUUUAUGUCAUAUAUGAGGCAUGAGGAGAAAACACCCUACAACCUGCAAUCAGUGCUCAUCUGAGAGACCCCGAUGCCAUCAAAGGCCAACACCAUAGAUAUAGUAAAUCUCAUGAGCCAGAAAGGAUGGAAGAAGGCAGGACGGCAGCUUCCUGUUGCUGUCUUCAGCCCUUGUCUGAUUGGACCAUUGCCUCUGCCAGCAGCGUGUGGACGGAGGACAUUCUUCGCCUUAGAAUGCCAUGUAAGUACUUAAUUCCCAUCCAGACGAAGACUAGAUGGUCCUAAACUACAUACGCUUUUCAGAAU